rnacentral:tRNA from 1 species
AAGUCUUAUAGUCAAAAAUGAUUUUAAAUUGCAAAUUUAAAGGAGAUGAAAAAUCUAAGGCUU